AUGGUCGUCGAUGCCCUUGUUGUUAUCCUAGAUAAGGCUAAAUCUGUUGGCCAUAUCCAUAGCUUAGUCCCUCACCUGGUAGGAGGGGGAGGGGUUUCCCUCCUACACUAUGCUGAUGGCACCAUAAUAAUGGUGGAGGGAUCAGCCUCCGACAUUGCCAACCUGAAGUUCCUCCUCCUAUGCUUCCAGUAGAUGUAUGGACUCACAAUCAACUUCGAUAAGAGCGAAGUGAUGAUUCUUGGCUACACUCCUGACGAGUCCCAGGCCAUUGCUGACCGGCUAAACUGUCGACUGGGUACUUUCCCCACGACCUAUUUGGGGAUCCCCAUUAGUGACUCGUGACUCACCGUGGCUGACCUGCGCCCGACUGUGACCCGGAUGCAGCAUCGAGUGGAGACAUGGAAGGGGCGGUGGCCUUCGAAGGCCGCCAGGGUGAUCCUCACCAACUCCUCGCUUGUCAGUCUCCUAUGGUUUCUCAUGAGCUUCUACAACCUCCAUGAGACACUCCAUCAGCAGAUCGCCAAGUACCAGUCCAGGUUUUUCUGGGCAGGCGAGGGAGACAAG
rnacentral:rRNA from 1 species